GGCACGGUAGUUCAGUUGGUUAGAACGGAGAUGGGUUAAAAUCCAGAACGGUCGCAGGUUCGAGUCCUGCCCGUGCCA
rnacentral:tRNA from 1 species